rnacentral:rRNA from 1 species
UACGAAGGGGGCUAGCGUUGUUCGGAUUUACUGGGCGUAAAGCGCACGUAGGCGGAUCGAUCAGUCAGGGGUGAAAUCCCAGAGCUCAACUCUGGAGCUGCCUUUGAUACUGUCGAUCUGGAGUAUGGAAGAGGUGAGUGGAAUUCCGAGUGUAGAGGUGAAAUUCGUAGAUAUUCGGAGGAACACCAGUGGCGAAGGCGGCUCACUGGUCCAUUACUGACGCUGAGGAGCGAAAGCGUGGGUAGCAAACAGG